GCCGUCCUGCCAUCCUUCCCCGGCGGCAUGCACCGCCACCCCCACCUUCCUCCUCCGGCCAGGUGCGCUGCCACGAUGCGACCCCCAGCCAGCACACGCCACUGCCUCCACCUCCCCCUCACACAACACCUCCGCCACGACGCACCCCCUGCAAGUUCGCGCCACCGGCCACACCUUCCUUCCGCGUCAGCACGCACCGGCGCGACGCAUCCCGCCGCCUAGCAUCCCGGUGCAACAUCCGGUGAUCCACCGACCCGCAACCCUGCGCUCGACCACACCCGGUACCUGAUCGAGCCCCCGGAGAACAUCCACACGAGCACGUGUGUUCAAUUUCUGCAUUUCUGCUACUGAAAACAGAGGAGAACGGCUGCUAAGAUUUUCUCUGAACUUCCUUGUUCUUUGUGACGAGACCUGCUCAACUCUCCCUUUAUGAACUCCUGCAAAACAAUUUUAUUUAUCUUUUCAUCUUUAUCUUUCUGAACUGAAUUGGACUUGGUUGUGUCAUAUUCUUAUCAAUUUUCCCAUCUGAAAAUGGUAUGAUAUGAAGGAACAGUCUAGGUGGACGAGAAUUUCAAGUUCAUUUAUGACUGCAGAUACUUUGAUUUUUAUUUUCAAGUAUUAAAUUUCUUGGAUAAAUCACCUCUGCCAACGCCUCGCCGAUCAUCAUCCCAAAGUUCACCUCUGUCAACGCUGCCGUUCAGUUGUUGAGGCAAAGCCAUCCUCAAGACACAGAAGAUACGCACUCGAUUAGCAAACUCCACAAGUGAUUUGCACAAACACUUCACCUGGAGGUAUUGACCUGCAGCAUGCCGCGUCUGCCGCUGCCGCCGAGGUCCCCCCACAUAUAGCCGACGCUACGGCAACCACCCCCCACCACUAUCUGUUGCCGAUGCGUGCAACCACGUCCAGCCGCCCACUGAACGUGGGCACAGAGGCAGGGCCACGCUGAGAGCUCGAGAUCCACCACCCGCAGCCGCUUCCCCUGCAGGUUGCAGUGAAAAAACAAAAGGCAGAAGUUCAAAGAUGAAAUUUGAAGAAGGAAAUAUACAACAAUCAAAGAAGUGGCGGUCUCAUUACAUAGAAGGAGAACGCCUUGCGAGCCAGCCGAGUUGACUUCUGCCAUCGGCACUGCGUAAUAAUCACUGGAUUCCCAUGGCCACCGGCGCUGGAUAAUUAGCACUGAACGACUUGCAAUCCAGAAGAAAGUUGCGCCCAUAACCCGUAGAGAUCUAUCACGUUGUGCAGUUGGUCGUGAUGUCUCCCGGAGCUUCAAUUUUAUGACCCUGGUGCAUUUUCUUCUUUUUUGAUGUGCCAUUUGAUGCAUAAUUUAUCACUGGAUGCCCAUGGUGUGUGCAUAGUAUGUGUUUGUGUUAGUUCCCGACAGGUUCCUUCAUGUACUUCAUGGUGAUGGAUAGAGAGAUCCAUUAUUCAUUUGUAUAGAAGUUCAAAUUUAAAUAAAAGAGACGUUCAAUGUUUAUGAAAUCUACUUUAGUAAUUCUUUAUUAAAAGUGUACAAGCGUUACAGGUGGCAGCCGCGGCAUUUGUGUGUGUGUGAAUAAAAUGGAGAAGUUCAAGUUAAAAUAAUGGAGACGUUCGAUCCAUGUAAAAAAUCUGAUAUUUCCCAUUUCUUGAAAAAUAAAAGUAAGAAGUUGAACUUUAAAUAAUAUUAAAUAAGCUCGUUAUUUAUUAAAAAGUAAAAAAGUAUGUUUCUUUCAUAAAACCAAAGUACUUCAAAUUAAAAUAACACACGAGCUUAGAUGUCUAGUAAAAAAAUUGAGUAGUGAAGGACAAGUUCGCAUAAAGUAAAAACUAAUGUAAUUAAAAAAAUGUGAAGUUCAAAUUUUAAAACCCAGAAGUUCA